rnacentral:rRNA from 1 species
GGCGAGUGAGCGGCAAAAGCUCAAAUUUGAAAUCUGGCGUCUUCGACGUCCGAGUUGUAAUUUGAAAAAGGCGACUUUGUAGCUGGUCCUUGUCUAUGUUCCUUGGAACAGGACGUCAUAGAGGGUGAGAAUCCCGUGUGGCGAGGAUCCCAGUUAUUUGUAAAGUGCUUUCGACGAGUCGAGUUGUUUGGGAAUGCAGCUCUAAGUGGGUGGUAAAUUCCAUCUAAAGCUAAAUAUUGGCGAGAGACCGAUAGCGAACAAGUACAGUGAUGGAAAGAUGAAAAGAACUUUGAAAAGAGAGUGAAAAAGUACGUGAAAUUGUUGAAAGGGAAGGGCAUUUGAUCAGACAUGGCGUUUGCUUCGGCUUUCGCUGGGCCAGCAUCAGUUUUAGCGGUUGGAUAAAUCCUCGGGAAUGUGGCUCUGCUUCGGUAGAGUGUUAUAGCCCGUGGGAAUACAGCCAGCUGGGACUGAGGAUUGCGACUUUUGUCAAGGAUGCUGGCGUAAUGGUUAAAUGCCGCCCGUCUUGAAA